GAACUGCGAUAAGUAGUGUGAAUUGCAGAAUUCAGUGAAUCAUCGAAUCUUUGAACGCACAUUGCGCCCUUUGGUAUUCCUUAGGGCAUGCCUGUUCGAGCGUCAUCUAAACCUUCAAGCCCUGCUUGGUGUUGGGUGCCUGUCCCGCCUCCGCGCGCGGACUCACCUCAAAUCCAUUGGCGGCCCCCGCGUCGGCCACGAGCGCAGCAGAAACGCGAACUCGUGAGCCCGUCCGGGCGGCUCCCAGAAGCUACACCCACCCAGUUUGACCUCGGAUCAGGUAGGGAUACCCGCUGAACUUAAGC
rnacentral:misc_RNA from 1 species